AGUCGAACGGCAGCGCGGGGCAACCUGGCGGCGAGUGGCGAACGGGUGAGUAAUAUAUCGGAACGUACCCAAGAGUGGGGGAUAACGUAGCGAAAGUUACGCUAAUACCGCAUACGAUCUAAGGAUGAAAGCAGGGGAUCUUCGGACCUUGUGCUCCUGGAGCGGCCGAUAUCUGAUUAGCUAGUUGGUGAGGUAAAGGCUCACCAAGGCCACGAUCAGUAGCUGGUCUGAGAGGACGACCAGCCACACUGGAACUGAGACACGGUCCAGACUCCUACGGGAGGCAGCAGUGGGGAAUUUUGGACAAUGGGCGAAAGCCUGAUCCAGCAAUGCCGCGUGAGUGAAGAAGGCCUUCGGGUUGUAAAGCUCUUUUGUCAGGGAAGAAACGGUGAAGGCUAAUAUCCUUCGCUAAUGACGGUACCUGAAGAAUAAGCACCGGCUAACUACGUGCCAGCAGCCGCGGUAAUACGUAGGGUGCGAGCGUUAAUCGGAAUUACUGGGCGUAAAGCGUGCGCAGGCGGUUUUGUAAGUCUGACGUGAAAUCCCCGGGCUCAACCUGGGAAUUGCGUUGGAGACUGCAAGGCUGGAGUCUGGCAGAGGGGGGUAGAAUUCCACGUGUAGCAGUGAAAUGCGUAGAGAUGUGGAGGAACACCGAUGGCGAAGGCAGCCCCCUGGGUCAAGACUGACGCUCAUGCACGAAAGCGUGGGGAGCAAACAGGAUUAGAUACCCUGGUAGUCCACGCCCUAAACGAUGUCUACUAGUUGUCGGGUUUUAAUUAACUUGGUAGCGCAGCUAACGCGUGAAGUAGACCGCCUGGGGAGUACGGUCGCAAGAUUAAAACUCAAAGGGAUUGAC
rnacentral:rRNA from 1 species